AGGCUUACUCGACAACAAGAAAUGAUAAUAAAUUAACUUUAGAUAUGGAUCAAAUAUUAAAAGAUUUUAAGUACGAAAAACUAAAAGAGUGCUUUCAAGAUAGGAAGAGAUUUUAAACUUAAAUAUCCAGAUAUCAUCGUCAAUUUGGUCGACGUUUCGAAAAAGGUUUCUGUAGCUAGCUCGAGGAAGAGUAAAAGAAAACUACAGCCUUGAAAUACUCAACGAGUUAAAAAAGGAUUCAAUCGACGACGAUCAACUUAAUAUUGGAACUCUAACAAUUUUGCAUGCCGU